rnacentral:rRNA from 1 species
CUUGUCUCAAAGAUUAAGCCAUGCAUGUCUAAGUUUAAGCAAUUAAACCGCGAAACUGCGAAUGGCUCAUUAAAUCAGUUAUAGUUUAUUUGAUAGUACCUUACUACAUGGAUAACCGUGGUAAUUCUAGAGCUAAUACAUGCUAAAAACCCCGACUUCGGAAGGGGUGUAUUUAUUAGAUUAAAAACCAAUGCCCUUCGGGGCUAACUGGUGAUUCAUAAUAACUUCUCGAAUCGCAUGGCCUUGCGCUGGCGAUGGUUCAUUCAAAUUUCUGCCCUAUCAACUUUCGACGGCUGGGUCUUGGCCAGCCAUGGUGACAACGGGUAACGGAGGGUUAGGGCUCGACCCCGGAGAAGGAGCCUGAGAAACGGCUACUACAUCCAAGGAAGGCAGCAGGCGCGCAAAUUACCCAAUCCCGACACGGGGAGGUAGUGACAAUAAAUACUGAUACAGGGCUCUUUUGGGUCUUGUAAUUGGAAUGAGUACAAUUUAAAUCCCUUAACGAGGAACAAUUGGAGGGCAAGUCUGGUGCCAGCAGCCGCGGUAAUUCCAGCUCCAAUAGCGUAUAUUAAAGUUGUUGAGGUUAAAAAGCUCGUAGUUGAACCUUGGGCUCGGCCCGUCGGUCCGCCUCACCGCGUGCACUGACUGGGUCGGGCCUUUUUUCCUGGAGAACCGCAUGCCCUUCACUGGGUGUGUCGGGGAACCAGGACUUUUCCGUGAACAAAUCAAAUCGCUCAAAGAAGGCCUAUGCUCGAAUGUACUACCAUGGAAUAAUAAAAUAGGACGUGGGGUUCUAUUUUGUUGGUUUCUAGGACCGCCCUAAUGAUUAAUAGGGACAGUCGGGGGCAUCAUUUUCAAUUGCAAAGGGGAAAUUCUGGAUUUUUGAAAACAACUACUGCGAAACAUUUUCCAGGA